UGCCAGCAGCCGCGGUAAUACGAAGGGUGCUAGCGUUGUUCGGAAUUAUUGGGCGUAAAGAGCACGUAGGCGGUUAGGCAAGUCUGAUGUGAAAUCCCUCGGCUCAACCGGGGAACUGCAUUGGAUACUGUCUGGCUUGAGUACGGAAGGGGAGAGUGGAAUUCCUGGUGGAGCGGUGAAAUGCGUAGAUAUCAGGAGGAACGCCGGAGGCGAAAGCGGCUCUCUGGUCCGUUACUGACGCUGAGGUGCGAAAGCUAGGGGAGCGAACGGGAUUAGAUA
rnacentral:rRNA from 1 species